UUACCCAACGGGGUCAUGGAUACCUGCCUUUUAUUUUA
ensembl:misc_RNA